rnacentral:rRNA from 1 species
CCUACGGGAGGCAGCAGUGGGGGAUAUUGCACAAUGGGGGAAACCCUGAUGCAGCGACGCCGCGUGGGCGAAGAAGUAUUUCGGUAUGUAAAGCCCUAUCAGCAGGGAAGAAGAAAUGACGGUACCUGUUUAGAAAGCUCCGGCUAACUACGUGCCAGCAGCCGCGGUAAUACGUAGGGAGCAAGCGUUGUCCGGAAUUACUGGGCGUAAAGGGCGCGUAGGUGGGCGUUUAAGUCAGGUGUGAAAACUCCGGGCUCAACCUGGAGACUGCACGUGAAACUGGGUGUCUUGAGGGCAGGAGAGGA